UACGUAGGGUGCGAGCGUUGUCCGGAAUUACUGGGCGUAAAGAGCUCGUAGGUGGUUUGUCGCGUUGUUCGUGAAAACCGGAGGCUUAACCUUCGGCGUGCGGGCGAUACGGGCAGACUGGAGUACUGCAGGGGAGACUGGAAUUCCUGGUGUAGCGGUGGAAUGCGCAGAUAUCAGGAGGAACACCGAUGGCGAAGGCAGGUCUCUGGGCCGAUACUGACGCUGAGGAGCGAAAGCGUGGGGAGCGAACAGG
rnacentral:rRNA from 1 species